GAGGAGUCUCGAGGAAGGUAUUUGUCAGACACAGUCAGUCCCAUCAGACCUGUCGAGAAAGCAGGACGCAGGAUUUCUGGAGUUGCCACAACAGUGAAACUAUUUGGCAUUCACCUUAUCACACAGAAUGGCACAACAAGGAAGCAAGUCAGUAAAAUUCCACUGUUCAGUCUGUCUGGAUCUACUGAAGGAUCCAGUCACUAUUCCCUGUGGACACAACUACUGUAUGAGCUGUAUUGAAGGACACUGGGAUAAAGAGGAACCAAAAGGAGCCUACAGCUGUCCUCAGUGCAAAAAGAGUUUUAUAUUGAGGCCUGAGCUGGAGAAAAACACCAUGUUAGCAGCGUUAGUAGAGGACUUGAAGACAUCACCUGAAGAUGUUUCCUGUGAUGUCUGCACAGGAAAGAAGCUGAAAGCAGUGAAGUCCUGUCUGGUAUGUUUGGUUUCUUACUGUGACCAACACCUCCAGCCUCACUAUGAAUCCUCUGCCUUUGACAAACACAAGCUGGUCAAACCUUCCAAGGGGUUGAAAAGUAACAUCUGUUCAACUCACAAUGAGGUGAUGAAGAUGUUCUGCCAUACUGAUCAGCAGUGUAUCUGUUAUGUCUGCUGCAUGGACAAACAUAAACACCAUGUAACAGUUCCAGUUAAAGACGUAAGGGCAGACAAAGAGAAAGAUCUUAAGAUGAAUCUGCAGGAAGUCCAGAAGAAAAUUCAGACCAGAGUGGAGGAAGGUAAAGUGCUUGAGAAAGAGAUG